ACUCCUACGGGAGGCAGCAGUGGGGAAUAUUGCACAAUGGGCGCAAGCCUGAUGCAGCCAUGCCGCGUGUGUGAAGAAGGCCUUCGGGUUGUAAAGCACUUUCAGUCGUGAGGAAGGUAGUGUAGUUAAUAGCUGCAUUAUUUGUACGUUAGCGACAGAAGAAGCACCGGCUAACUCCGUGCCAGCAGCCGCGGUAAUACGGAGGGUGCGAGCGUUAAUCGGAAUUACUGGGCGUAAAGCGCAUGCAGGUGGUUUGUUAAGUCAGAUGUGAAAGCCCGGGGCUCAACCUCGGAAUAGCAUUUGAAACUGGCAGACUAGAGUACUGUAGAGGGGGUUAGAAUUUCAGGUGUAGCGGUG
rnacentral:rRNA from 1 species